AAGACUAUACUUUCAGGGAUCAUGUCUAUAGUUUGUUACUGGAAUGAGUGCUCAUUUUAAAUAGCAUCUAGUUCUUAGUGGUUUGGAGAACGCUCC
rnacentral:snoRNA from 1 species